rnacentral:rRNA from 1 species
UACAGAGGGGCCGAGCGUUAUUCGGAAUUAUUGGGCGUAAAGGGCGCGUAGGCGGCCAUGCGUGUCUUCCGUGAAAUCCCUCGGCUUAACUGAGGACGUGCGGAAGAAACUGCAAGGCUCGAGUCCGGGAGAGGGGGUGGAAUUCCACGUGUAGCAGUGAAAUGCGUAGAGAUGUGGAGGAACACCGAUGGCGAAGGCAGCCCCCUGGGCUAACACUGACGCUCGAUGCACGAAAGCGUGGGGAGCGAAACAAGG